rnacentral:misc_RNA from 1 species
UCAAACUUGGUCAUUUAGAGGAAGUAAAAGUCAUAACAAGGUUUCUGUAGGUGAACCUGCAGAAGGAUCAUUAGUGAUUGCUUGGUCGCGGAUUCGUCCCGGCCCUCUCCUUUUGACACACCUGUGCACCGGUGGUGGUUGAUGCUUUACGUAUCGGCCCUGCCAACCUUUAUAAACACAAAAAGUCAUGAACGUAAAUUAUCAUAACAAAAGAUAACUUUUGACAACGGAUCUCUUGGUUCUCCCAUCGAUGAAGAACGCAGC